UUGUUUUUUCAUGAGGGUUCAGUGUUUACUUUUUUAUUAUUGCAAUUUGCUUAUAAUUUUGUAUCCUUCUUUAUUAGGGUUUAUUGAUUUUGCAUUUUGCAUUUUAGGCAUAAAAACAAACAAAAGAAAAUUCCAUUAUGCUAGUUUAUGAUGUUUAAUUGAAAUGUUUCCAGUUUUCAAAAAGCAUCCAUUUGAUGUAUUACUAUGUCUCUAGACCUGGAAUAAAAACUACGGGUGAAAUGUUAAUCCUAUAGUAAUCAGUGAUUAAUUCAUGAUUGGUUCUGUACGAUGAAUUUGAGCUUGCUUUGCUGUUGAUUCAUUGACAUAAUAAGCUUGUGAUAUUCUAAUGAGAACCCUCUCUGCUGAUGUUCUAUCCCUGUGAGAUUCCUUUUAUAUCAUUCAAACAAUAUUUAUGGUUGAAUUUGAAUUUUUUGCAUAUGGUCACAUCAUCAGAAGUGGGAUGAUCACAUUGCAAUCAUGGCUGUUGGUGUGGUUGAUGGAAGUUCCGAAGCCAUUUUCCAGACUCUUAUGUCACUUGGUCCUUCAAGAUCAGCAUGGGAUUUCUGUUUCUACAAAGGCAGUGUGGUUGAGCACGUAGAUGGUCACACUGACAUCAUUCACAAAGAGCUGUAUAGGGAUUGGUUGCCUUGAUUUAUUUUCAUAAGAAUUAUCAGAAAUUGGAUUGAACUACUUUAUCUGCUUGUGGAUGGAGUGGCACACCCUUGAUAUCAUCACUUCCUCUUGAUUGGUUGUAGCUGCCGUCCAGCCUCUGCAAUAUCUGUAGAGAAAGAAAAAGUUCUUUUGGCAAUGGCAUAUAGCUCGCUGUUCAAUAGAGUGCAGUUCUUAGCAGAUUCUUGAGCCGAUUUUCUCUUUAUGUCUGUGUUUGUCUCUUCAAUUUCCUUGUCUAUAAUUGUAAGUCUGCAUGUUCUUUCCUAAUUUUUGGUUUAUAUCUAACAUUUAAAUGGAUCUGUCAAUGUGGUGUCAUUUAUAUUAUCUGAAUAUUUUCUGCAGAAAUUUUCCAUUCAAGCAAGGAAAAUGAAAUGCACACUAGCUUCACUCAUUGAUAUAAUUAGUACAAGAGAAAGCACAAAAAUAGGGGACAGCAAGCUAAAUAUGACUUUAAAGGGGGUGCACAGGUGCAAAUUUUAUGUGCAGAACCAGAUUCUCAAAAGACACCAAUUGACAAUGAUUUAUCAGAUAGUGAAAUGAAUUCAAAAGAUACAAAGGAAAUGGUCCUAGUCCGCCAUUCAGGAAGAAUUACAAGAAAAUCAUAUAAGGAAAAAGUCCAUGCCCUGUAGUUGUUGACAUUGAUAAUGAGGAUACUACAGAAGCGGAUCAAGUUCAAGAGGAAAAUAAAGAGCAUGCUUCAGGCUUAAAAUCUAAGAAAGUUCCUCGAUCUGCUUCAGCCACUGCAAAUAAUGAAGUUGUGUCUAGUAACAAUGCAAAUAAUAUUCUUUUGGAAGAUUUGAAGCUUUUCGCUCACAAUGGAUGAUCAGAAAUCAUGGAGUUUCAUAUUUUGUAAUGAAAUAUAUAUAAAGGAAGUAGAUAAUGUAAUAGUUGUUGCAAUUGUAAUUCAUGUAUUAAGAAUUUAUAGGUAAUUGUUAUGAUUUUGAUUUUUGGUAUUUUGUUAGAGCAUGUCAUGUGAUUAAACACUUUUUUUU